rnacentral:rRNA from 1 species
ACGGGGUGCAGCAGGCGCGAAAACUCCGCAAUACACGAAAGUGUGACGGGGGGACCCCAAGUGCUCUCGCGCAAGCGAGUGCUUUUUCGAAGUGUAAAUAGCUUUGCGAAUAAAAGCUGGGUAGGACCGGUGCCAGCCGCCGCGGUAACACCGGCAGCUUGAGUGGUGAUCAUUAUUAUUGGGCCUAAAGCGUCCGUAGCCGGUUUGGUAAGUCCUUGGGCAAAUCCUGUCGCUUAACGAUAGGAAUUCUGGGGAUACUGCCAGACUUGAGGCCGAGAGAGGUCGGAGGUACUUCAAGGGUAGCGGUGAAAUGUUAUAAUCCUUGGGGGACCACCAGUGGCGAAAGCGUCCGACUAGAGCGGGCCUGACGGUAAGGGACGAAAGCCAGGGGCGCGAACGGGAUUAGAUACCCCGGUAGUCCUGGCCGUAAACGCUGUGGGCUAGGUGUUGCAUGCUCUACGAGGGCAUGCAGUGCCGAAGAGAA